AUUGAACGCUGGCGGCAGGCCUAACACAUGCAAGUCGAGCGAGCGGCGGACGGGUGAGUAAUGUCUGGGAAACUGCCCGAUGGGGGGGGAUAACUACUGGAAACGGUAGCUCAUACCGCAUACGAUCAGAUGUGCCCAGAUGGUACUAGCUAGUGGGUGGGGUAAUGGCUCACCUAGGCGACGAUCCCUAGCUGGUCUGAGAGGAUGACCAGCCACACUGGAACUGAGGCACGGUCCAGACUCCGACGGGAGGCAGCAGUGGGGAAUAUUGCACAAUGGGCGCAAGCCUGAUGCAGCCAUGCCGCGUGUGUGAAGAAGGCCUUCGGGUUGUAAAGCACUUUCAGCGGGGAGGCGUUACCCGCAGAAGAAGCACCGGCUAACUCCGUGCCAGCAGCCGCGGUAAUAC
rnacentral:rRNA from 1 species